rnacentral:rRNA from 1 species
GUAUACGGCCGUACCCCUCUGAGAACCGCCGAUCUCAUAUCAUCUUGGAAACUAAGCAGGGUUGGGCCUUGGUAAUACUUGGAUGGGGACUGCCUGGGAAUACCGGGUGCUGCAGGCU